UAGGGUGACCAACUGUCCUGGUUUCCCUGGGACUGAGAGGCUUCCUGGGAUGCAGGAAUUUCAGUGCU
rnacentral:miRNA from 1 species